rfam:Bacteroidetes bacterium GWA2_40_15 gwa2_scaffold_6629, whole genome shotgun sequence.
UUCAGGUGGAGACCAGAGACCACUUAAAAAACGGGGCGUAUCCGAAAAGCCUAAAGAGUAGGGAUUAUU